AACGAACGCUGGCGGCAUGCCUAACACAUGCAAGUCGAACGAGACCUUCGGGUCUAGUGGCGCACGGGUUCGUAACGCGUGGGAACCUGCCCUUAGGUUCGGAAUAACUCCCCGAAAGGGGUGCUAAUACCGGAUAAUGUCUUCGGACCAAAGAUUUAUCGCCUUUGGAUGGGCCCGCGUUGGAUUAGCUAGUUGGUAGGGUAAAAGCCUACCAAGGCGACGAUCCAUAGCUGGUCUGAGAGGAUGAUCAGCCACACUGGGACUGAGACACGGCCCAGACUCCUACGGGAGGCAGCAGUGGGGAAUAUUGGACAAUGGGCGAAAGCAUGAUCCAGCAAUGCCGCGUGAGUGAUGAAGGCAUUAGGGUUGUAAAGCUCUUUUACCCGGGAUGAUAAUGACAGUACCGGGAGAAUAAGCUCCGGCUAACUCCGUG
rnacentral:rRNA from 1 species